GACAGUGUAGCAUAGUGGUUUGAAUGUUGGAGUAGGACUCUGGAGACCAGGGUUCGACUCCCUGAUUGGCCA